UUAAAGGAGCAGGAGAGAGGGCUGUGUGCUGGCCGACAGGGAGGGAGAGGCCAGAACAAGCAGAGAAAAGGAGCGGAGGGUUUUUUUUUUUUAUUUAAUGUAAAUUACAAAUAACUGUCUUUAGCACAAAUCCCUACCUGUUGUUUUUUUAAGCUAGACGCUGCACAGGGGGUCACAAGAAGAUCCUCCUUUCAGUUAAUGUGAAUGUUUUUCCUUGCGAGCUUCUAGCUUUCUAGCCAGCUAGCUAGGAAUAAGUGUAGGGUGCUAGCUGGAGCUUAGCUAGUGUAUUCACAUGGACGCUGAAAUGGAAGGAACCCUAAACGCGCUUUAUACCGCGCGACCUUAGAGAACAGGCCUUUAACAAGGUGUUGGCGAAAUAUUUUAGAUUCGUCUGUAGCCUUUUUUAUACAUAUUUACCAUGUGCACUUACGCGGCGGCGCUGCGCAAAAUCUAAAUCCGACCCGAACAUAGAUGGAGCAGGGGCGUUUUGGGUUUAGCUACAGCUAGCACACAGCUAGCUGGCCUGGCAGACACAUCAGAGCACAAAGAGCAAAGAAAAUAAAAGGAGUUGCAGUACUUUUUAAACCGGUUUCGUUGUAUUCGAGGUGCUUAUCGGGUGGAUAUUUAAAGCAGGUGAAUUAAACAGCCAGCUGUUUGCUUUAUGUUGGGAAGCAGAUAAAGCUAGCUAGGUAGCUAGCCGAGUUUGGCUCAGUGUUUUAGCGCCCAGUCCCAAAUGAAGGAGUACAAAGUGGUUGUGUUGGGCAGCGGCGGCGUGGGCAAGUCCGCCCUGACCGUUCAGUUUGUCACCGGCACAUUUAUAGAAAAAUACGACCCGACCAUCGAGGAUUUCUAUCGGAAAGAGAUCGAGGUUGACUCGUCCCCUUCGGUGCUGGAGAUUCUGGACACCGCCGGAACCGAGCAGUUCGCGUCCAUGAGAGAUCUUUAUAUAAAGAACGGCCAAGGCUUCAUUUUAGUUUACAGCCUUGUGAAUCAGCAGUCAUUUCAGGACAUCAGACCGAUGCGAGACCAGAUAGUUCGAGUGAAGCGCUUUGAGAAGGUUCCCCUAAUCUUGGUGGGCAAUAAGGUGGAUCUGGAAUCUGAGCGUGAGGUCGCCGGGUCCGACGGUCGAGCCCUGGCUCAGGAGUGGGGCUGCCCCUUCAUCGAGACCUCGGCUAAGAGCAAGACCAUGGUGGACGAGCUCUUUGCUGAGAUUGUGAGGCAGAUGAACUAUGCCACUUUGCCUGAGAAACAGGAGCAGUGCUGCACGGCGUGUGUGAUGCAGUGAGGUCUGUGGCCUUACCGCACACUCCACAGGUCAGGCUCGGUUCUGUUAUCAUAAGAUCACCCAAAGAAUGCGGCGUGACCAACCAGACAGCCUGACUACAGACUGCUGAAGCAUGAAGAAGCAGCGCAGUCUAGACUAGUGUCCGGAACGAGAGAGCAGGGAGAUUCCCAGCAAAGAAAAAGGAAAAUCCUACCUCCUGAAUGACAAUGCAUGUUCCAAAAUAACAGGAAACAAGUUCUCCAACUGCUACCAUUCAGCCACAGCACCUGGCAGGAGGCCCUUUUGAACCCAUGUCUGCUUCAGUGAUGUUUUGACCCCAUGAGCCACUCCAGUGUCACUGAGCCGUCUGAACUCAGACUGAUGAGGUCACCUUGGUCAAGCCUUGGUUUGCUGCAGUGUGAAGCAGGGACAUUGAAAUCUCUGACUUUCAUCCGUGUCUGUAUUGUAGAGCACAUAUAUAAUACAGUAUAUAUACAGUAUACUGGGUGUUUUUGGGAACUGCAUGACAAGCAUCAGUGGGGGGGGCUGAGGACUUUGGAAACGGGGCCAAAUGUGACAGGGCUAUUAAUAUCUAUUUUCUUAGAGGGGGAACUACAUUGUGUAUGAGCAGGAUUUCUGCAACCUGUAAACAUGCUGACGGUGCUCAGUUGUACAUCCCUAGGAUUUCUUUUAACAUUUUAUGUUUGAUAUCUACUUUUAAUGUGAUAAUAGCCAUUACAAAGGUUUGAAGCCUGGACCAUCUAACUUUGCUUUUCUCCUUUUUUUUUUCUUUUCUUUUUAUUUUUUCUUUUUUAAGACUACAGUAUGUAUUCCCCAUAGUAUAUUUAUUAAAAUGUUUAAUUACAAAGAUGGAUACAUAUUGAAUUUUUAUGUUCCAUUGGCCUUUUUGCUUUUUGUGACAGUAUGCAUUGUUUCUGAUAUGGAGCAUUAAUGACGCCUUAAAUGAUUACAGUUUUGAACUUGUGUGGA